rnacentral:rRNA from 1 species
CCUACGGGAGGCAGCAGUGAGGAAUAUUGGUCAAUGGACGCAAGUCUGAACCAGCCAUGCCGCGUGCAGGAAGACGGCUCGAUGAGUUGUAAACUGCUGUUGUACGAGGGUAAACGCAGAUACGUGUAUCUGUCUGAAAGUAGCGGACGAAGAAGGAUCGGCUAACUCCGUGCCAGCAGCCGCGGUAAUACGGAGGAUUCAAGCGUUCUCCGGAUUUAUUGGGUUUAAAGGGUGCGUAGGCGGUCGGAUAAGUUAGAGGUGAAAUCCCGAGGCGCAACUUCGGAAGUGCCUCUGAUACUGUUCGGCUCGUGCGUAGUUGCGGUAGGCGGACUGUUUGGUGUAGCGGUGAACUGCUU